UACGUAGGGUGCGAGCGUUAAUCGGAAUUACUGGGCGUAAAGCGUGCGCAGGCGGUUCGUUGUGUCGGCGGUGAAAGCCCCGGGCUCAACCUGGGAAUGGCCGUUGAAACUGGCGAACUGGAGUGUGGCAGAGGGGGGUGGAAUUCCGCGUGUAGCAGUGAAAUGCGUAGAGAUGUGGAGGAACACCGAUGGCGAAGGCAGCCCCCCUGGGUUAACACUGACGCUCAGGCACGAAAGCGUGGGGAGCAAACAGG
rnacentral:rRNA from 1 species